AUACUGGCCAGAGACCGAUAGCGCACAAGUAGAGUGAUCGAAAGAUGAAAAGCACUUUGGAAAGAGAGUCAAAUAGCACGUGAAAUUGUUGAAAGGGAAGCGCUUGCAGCCAGACUUGCCUGUAGUUGCUUAUCCAAACUUUUGUUUGGUGCACUCUUCUGCGGGCAGGCCAGCAUCAGUUUGGGCAGUUGGAUAAAGGUCUCUGUCAUGUACCUCUCUUCGGGGAGGCCUUAUAGGGGAGACGACAUGCAACUAGCCUGGACUGAGGUCCGCGCAUCUGCUAGGAUGCUGGCGUAAUGGCUGUAAGCGGCCCGUCUUGAAACACGGACC
rnacentral:rRNA from 1 species